UCUCCCAUAGCUUAGUUGGUAGAGCGUAAUGCUUAUAUCUUGACAUUCAUUACGAAGUCGAUAUGCCUGGUAGCACAAUCUCGCAAGAGACGUUAAUGUCACGGGUUCGAGUCCCGUUGGGAGAA
rnacentral:tRNA from 1 species